ACUUAAAUAGCUUAUAUAUUAGAGUAUAGUAUUGAAGAUGCUAGGGAAAUAUGAUUAUUUUUAAGUA
rnacentral:tRNA from 1 species